AGCUCCAAUAGCGUAUAUUAAAGUUGUUGCAGUUAAAAAGCUCGUAGUCGGAACUCGGGCCGGGGGUCUGUAGCCAGCAAUGCUGUGCUUGCAGGGCCUCGGUCUUCCUUCUGGCUUUGCGGGGUGGUCCUUGAUUGGGCUGCUGCGUGGAGGUCAGGACGUUUACUGUGAAAAAAUUAGAGUGUUUAAAGCAGGCGAUUGCUGUGAAUACAUUAGCAUGGAAUAAUAGAAUAGGACUUUGGUGCUAUUUUGUUGGUUUUUAGAACCGAAGUAAUGAUUAAUAGGGACAGUUGGGGGCAUUCGUAUUUCAUUGUCAGAGGUGAAAUUCUUGGAUUUAUGAAAGACGAACCGCUGCGAAAGCGUCUGCCAAGGAUGUUUUCAUUGAUCAAGAACGAAAGUA
rnacentral:rRNA from 1 species